AGUGAACGCUGGCGGUAGGCCUAACACAUGCAAGUCGAACGGCAGCACAGUAAGAGCUUGCUCUUACGGGUGGCGAGUGGCGGACGGGUGAGGAAUACAUCGGAAUCUACUUUUUCGUGGGGGAUAACGUAGGGAAACUUACGCUAAUACCGCAUACGACCUACGGGUGAAAGCAGGGGAUCUUCGGACCUUGCGCGAUUGUAUGAGCCGAUGUCGGAUUAGCUAGUUGGCGGGGUAAAGGCCCACCAAGGCGACGAUCCGUAGCUGGUCUGAGAGGAUGAUCAGCCACACUGGAACUGAGACACGGUCCAGACUCCUACGGGAGGCAGCAGUGGGGAAUAUUGGACAAUGGGCGCAAGCCUGAUCCAGCCAUACCGCGUGAGUGAAGAAGGCCUUCGGGUUGUAAAGCCCUUUUGUUGGGAAAGAAAAGCAGCAGAUGAAUACCCCGCUGUUCUGACGGUACCCAAAGAAUAAGCACCGGCUAACUUCGUG
rnacentral:rRNA from 1 species